GAUGAACGCUGGCGGCGUGCCUAAUACAUGCAAGUCGAGCGAAUGGAUUAAGAGCUUGCUCUUAUGAAGUUAGCGGCGGACGGGUGAGUAAGACGUGGGUAACCUGCCCAUAAGACUGGGAUAACUACGGGAAACCGGGGAUAAUACCGGAUAAAAUUUUGAACCGCAUGGUUCGAAAUUGAAAGGCGGCUUCGGCUGUCACUUAUGGAUGGAUCCGCGUCGCAUUAGCUAGUGGGUGAGGUAACGGCUCACCAAGGCAACGAUGCGUAGCCGACCUGAGAGGGUGAUCGGCCACACUGGGACUGAGACACGGCCCAGACUCCUACGGGAGGCAGCAGUAGGGAAUCUUCCGCAAUGGACGAAAGUCUGACGGAGCAACGCCGCGUGAGUGAUGAAGGCUUUCUGGUCGUAAAACUCUGUUGUUAGGGAAGAACAAGUGCUAGUUGAAUAAGCUGGCACCUUGACGGUACCUAACCAGAAAGCCACGGCUAACUACGUGCCAGCCGCCGCGGUAA
rnacentral:rRNA from 1 species